rnacentral:rRNA from 1 species
AGGAAGCUUUAGGCGCGGCACCAACUGAGUCCCCUGGAACGGGGCGCCACAGAGGGUGAGAGCCCCGUAUAGUUGGACGCCUAGCCUGUGUAAAGCUCCUUCGACGAGUCGAGUAGUUUGGGAAUGCUGCUCAAAAUGGGAGGUAAAUUUCUUCUAAAGCUAAAUACCGGCCAGAGACCGAUAGCGCACAAGUAGAGUGAUCGAAAGAUGAAAAGCACUUUGAAAAGAGGGUUAAAUAGCACGUGAAAUUGUUGAAAGGGAAGCGCUUGUGACCAGACUUGCGCCCGGCUGAUCAUCCGGUGUUCUCACCGGUGCACUCUGCCGGGCUCAGGCCAGCAUCGGUUCUCGCGGGGGGAUAAAGGUCCUGGGAACGUAGCUCCUCCGGGAGUGUUAUAGCCCAGGGCGUCAUGCCCUCGCGGGGACCGAGGUUCGCGCAUCUGCAAGGAUGCUGGCGUAAUGGUCAUCA